AUGAACGCUGGCGGCGUGCCUAAUACAUGCAAGUCGAGCGAACGGACGAGAAGCUUGCUUCUCUGAUGUUAGCGGCGGACGGGUGAGUAACACGUGGAUAACCUACCUAUAAGACUGGGAUAACUUCGGGAAACCGGAGCUAAUACCGGAUAAUAUUUUGAACCGCAUGGUUCAAAAGUGAAAGACGGUCUUGCUGUCACUUAUAGAUGGAUCCGCGCUGCAUUAGCUAGUUGGCAAGGUAACGGCUUACCAAGGCAACGAUGCAUAGCCGACCUGAGAGGGUGAUCGGCCACACUGGAACUGAGACACGGUCCAGACUCCUACGGGAGGCAGCAGUAGGGAAUCUUCCGCAAUGGGCGAAAGCCUGACGGAGCAACGCCGCGUGAGUGAUGAAGGUCUUCGGAUCGUAAAACUCUGUUAUUAGGGAAGAACAUAUGUGUAAGUAACUGUGCACAUCUUGACGGUACCUAAUCAGAAAGCCACGGCUAACUACGUG
rnacentral:rRNA from 1 species